UACGUAGGGCGCAAGCGUUGUCCGGAAUUAUUGGGCGUAAAGAGCUCGUAGGCGGUUUGUUGCGUCGGCUGUGAAAUCCCGAGGCUCAACCUCGGGUCUGCAGUCGAUACGAGCAAACUAGAGUGUUGCAGGGGAGACUGGAAUUCCUGGUGUAGCGGUGAAAUGCGCAGAUAUCAGGAGGAACACCGGUGGCGAAGGUGGGUCUCUGGGCAGUAACUGACGCUGAGGAGCGAAAGCGUGGGGAGCGAACAGG
rnacentral:rRNA from 1 species